GAUGAACGCUGGCGGCGUGCCUAAUACAUGCAAGUCGAGCGAACGGACGAGAAGCUUGCUUCUCUGAUGUUAGCGGCGGACGGGUGAGUAACACGUGGAUAACCUACCUAUAAGACUGGGAUAACUUCGGGAAACCGGAGCUAAUACCGGAUAAUAUUUUGAACCGCAUGGUUCAAAAGUGAAAGACGGUCUUGCUGUCACUUAUAGAUGGAUCCGCGCUGCAUUAGCUAGUUGGUAAGGUAACGGCUUACCAAGGCAACGAUGCAUAGCCGACCUGAGAGGGUGAUCGGCCACACUGGAACUGAGACACGGUCCAGACUCCUACGGGAGGCAGCAGUAGGGAAUCUUCCGCAAUGGGCGAAAGCCUGACGGAGCAACGCCGCGUGAGUGAUGAAGGUCUUCGGAUCGUAAAACUCUGUUAUUAGGGAAGAACAUAUGUGUAAGUAACUGUGCACAUCUUGACGGUACCUAAUCAGAAAGCCACGGCUAACUACGUGCCAGCAGCCGCGGUAAUACGUAGGUGGCAAGCGUUAUCCGGAAUUAUUGGGCGUNAAGCGCGCGUANGCGGUUUUUUAAGUCUGAUGUGGAAGCCCACGGCUCAACGGUGGAGGGUCAUGGGAAACUGGAAAACUUGAGUGCAAAAGAAGGAAAGUGGAGUUCCCAUGGGUAACCGGUGAAAUGCCCACAAAAUUUGGGAGGACCACCCUUGGCAAAGGGGACUUUCUGGUCUGUAACUGACGCUGAUGUGCGAAAGCGUGGGAUCAAACAGGAUUAGAUACCCUGGUAGUUCACGCCGUAAACGAUGAGUGCUAAGUGUUAGGGGGUUUCCGCCCCUUAGUGCUGCAGCUAACGCAUUAAGCACUCCGCCUGGGGAGUACGACCGCAAGGUUGAAACUCAAAGGAAUUGACGGGGACCCGCACAAGCGGUGGAGCAUGUGGUUUAAUUCGAAGCAACGCGAAGAACCUUACCAAAUCUUGACAUCCUUUGACAACUCUAGAGAUAGAGCCUUCCCCUUCGGGGGACAAAGUGACAGGUGGUGCAUGGUUGUCGUCAGCUCGUGUCGUGAGAUGUUGGGUUAAGUCCCGCGACGAGCGCAACCCUUAAGCUUAGUUGCCAUCAUUAAGUUGGGCACACUAAGUUGACUGCCGGUGACAAACCGGAGGAAGGUGGGGAUGACGUCAAAUCAUCAUGCCCCUUAUGAUUUGGGCUACACACGUGCUACAAUGGACAAUACAAAGGGCAGCGAAACCGCGAGGUCAAGCAAAUCCCAUAAAGUUGUUCUCAGUUCGGAUUGUAGUCUGCAACUCGACUACAUGAAGCUGGAAUCGCUAGUAAACGUAGAUCAGCAUGCUACGGUGAAUACGUUCCCGGGUCU
rnacentral:rRNA from 1 species